rnacentral:rRNA from 1 species
UCGGGUUGUAAACUCUUUCAGUAGGGAAGAAGCGAAAGUGACGGUACCUGCAGAAGAAGCGCGGGCUAACUACGUGCCAGCAGCCGCGGUAAUACGUAGGGCGCAAGCGUUAUCGGGAAUUAUUGGGCGUAAAGAGCUCGUAGGCGGUUUGUCGCGUCUGCCGUGAAAGUCCGGGGCUUAACUCGGAUCUGCGGUGGGUACGGGCAGACUUGAGUGAUGUAGGGGAGACUGGAAUUCCUGGUGUAGCGGUGAAAUGCGCAGAUAUCAGGAGGAACACCGAUGGCGAAGGCAGGUCUCUGGGCAUUAACUGACGCUGAGGAGCGAAAGCAUGGGGAGCGAACAGGAUUAGAUACCCUGGUAGUCCAUGCCGUAAACGUUGGGCACUAGGUGUGGGGGACAUUCCACGUUUUCCGCGCCGUAGCUAACGCAUUAAGUGCCCCGCCUGGGGAGUACGGCCGCAAGGCUAAAACUCAAAGGAAUUGACGGGGGCCCGCACAAGCGGCGGAGCAUGCGGAUUAAUUCGAUGCAACGCGAAGAACCUUACCAAGGCUUGACAUGAACCGGAACGGCGCAGAGAUGUGUCGGCCACUUGUGGCCGGUUUACAGGUGGUGCAUGGUUGUCGUCAGCUCGUGUCGUGAGAUGUUGGGUUAAGUCCCGCAACGAGCGCAACCCUCGUUCCAUGUUGCCAGCGGGUUAUGCCGGGGACUCAUGGGAGACUGCCGGGGUCAACUCGGAGGAAGGUGGGGACGACGUCAAAUCAUCAUGCCCCUUAUGUCUUGGGCUUCACGCAUGCUACAAUGGCCGGUACAAAGGGUUGCGAUGCUGUGAGGUGGAGCUAAUCCCAAAAAGCCGGUCUCAGUUCGGAUUGAGGUCUGCAACUCGACCUCAUGAAGUCGGAGUCGCUAGUAAUCGCAGAUCAGCAACGCUGCGGUGAAUACGUUCCCGGGCCUUGUACACACCGCCCGUCAAGUCACGAAAGUUGGUAACACCCGAAGCCGGUGGCCUAACCCCUUGUGGGAAGAGCCGUCG